AACCUCUCGGCAGGUUCCCUGAUGUUGGUGAUACUGCAUCAGGAACUGAAUGGAGACCCAUGAGAGGCCAUCGGUUCCUGAUGCACGGUCCUCAGCAUCUGAAGAC
rnacentral:pre_miRNA from 11 species